UUUCUCUAAUAAUACCAAGUUUCCCUUUCGCACGUGCACUUUCAGGGUUAAAAGAAACGAAAUGAAGCUGUAGGAUGACGAGAUGAAAGAGAUAACCUGUAAAGACCAACCCUGUGAAAAUGGAGGUACGUGCUUAGAACGACCAGGUCAGCUGGAAGGUUAUACGUGUAACUGUGUUCGAGGUUGGUGUGGAGACAGAUGCCAGAAACCUCAUUUCACGGUCACACCUAAUGCGUGUCUCCAUGGUUACGACUUUAUAGCCUUCUCGGUUACUUCCAUCGG